AGAGCUGUUCUUUGAACUUAUUUCACAUUCAUCUUCCAACUUACUAGUAAACAAGGCAUUUAGAACAAUGGGUACUGCUUCAUUAUCUUUGCAAGACUAUCUGAAUCCAGUUUCUAAACUUUCAAUUGAAAAAUGGGUGGAAUUGCAGCCCAGUUCUGGCAAUUUGAGCUCAAAGCCGAUCUGCCUACGAAUUGCUGUCUCAUUGACUGUUCCCAUCCAAUCACCAUAUGUACUUCACAUGGUUCGUUCAAAAUCACUUUCAAAAACUUGUUUUUUCCCUCUUUCUGGAAGGGUUCAACAUGCUAAAGUUUGGACACACAUCACUGAUGAAAAUGAUGCGGAGGUCAUCAGCCUGCAAAUGAGGGACUCGACAGUGGCAAAGACAACCGACAAGAGCAUGCUUAAGAAGCAAGUAGUUGGUUCUAUGAAAUCUGGUGAGAUACGUGUACUGGCAGAGUUUACGAGGACUCAUUGGUCAUUAAUGGAUUCUCAGUGGUGCCUUCAGUUUAAAACAAAAUCUGAUGAAGAUGGUCAUUACUGUGAUCUCAUUGGCAGCAGGAUGAUAAAAGUUUUUCAUGGCAGAAAGCUGGAUUUUGAGCCCAAACGCUGUGAGAAGCAAAGAAAUGAACAAGAUUUUGUCACCGCGGUUGAAUUUUCUGCAGAGGAUCCAUAUGGUAAAGCAGUGGCAUUGCUCGACUUGAAGUCUGGGUCUGUCAAGGUGAAAGAAGAAUGGUUGGUGUUGCCUGCAAUCAUUUCAGCUUUUAUACUUGCUGAUAUUUUGAAAAAUAAAGGGAAUAGGGGCUUCAUUAUUAACAGUGAAAAUUUGGAGUUGGAUGGUAAUGUUGAAGAGGUCAGUGGGUUAAAUGAAGAAACCAAACAAAAGACUACCGCAAAAAGCAAAGAGGAGGUGAAUGUGGAUGACAUAAAGAGUGGAGGCUGUGGAGGUGGUUGCGGUGGUGCAUGUGGAAACAUGGAAAGAAAAGUGGAGUUGAAUGUGGAUGAAAUAAAGAGUGGAGGCUGUGGUGGUGGUUGUGG
rnacentral:misc_RNA from 1 species